CAGAAUGGGACGGGAUCAGCAGGAAUGGGACGGGAUCAGCAGGAGCAGGAAUGGGAUGGGAUCAGCAGGAAUGGGACGGGAUCAGCAGGAAUGGGAUGGGAUCAGCAGGAAUGGGACGGGAUCAGCAGGAGCAGGAUGGGACGGGAUCAGGGCGGAUUAGCCAGGAUCAGGAUGGGAGCGGGACAGCUCAGCAAGGGCAGCACCACAGACCCAGGAGGGAAGGAAAAGGGGAAGGGAAAGAAAAGGGAAAAGCGAAACAAAAGGAAGAAGAGAAAAGAGAAAGAAAAAGGGAAGGGAAAAAAGGGAAAAGAGAAACAAGAGGAAGAAGAGAAAAGGGAAGGAAAAGGGGAAGGGAAAAAAAGGGGAAAAGAGAAACAAAAGGAAGAGAAAAGGGAAAGAAAAGGGGAAAAGGGAAAAAGGGAAAAAAGGAACAAAAGGAAGAAAAGAGAAAGAAAAGGGGGAAAGGGAAAAAAGGGAAAAGCGAAACGAGGAAGAAGAGAAAAGGGAAGGAAAAGUGAAAGGGAAAAAAAAGGGAAAAUAGAAACAAAAGGAAGAAGAGAAAAGAGAAACAAGAGGAAGAAGAGAAAAGGGAAGGAAAAGGGGAAGGGAAAAAAAGGGGAAAAGAGAAACAAGAAGAAGAAGAGAAAAGGGAAGGAAAAGGGGAAGGGAAAAAAAGGGGAAAAGAGAAACAAGAGGAGGAAGAGAAAAGAGAAAGAAAAAGGGAAGGGAAAAAAGGGAAAAGAGAAACAAGAGGAAGAAGAGAAAAGGGAAGGAAAAGUGAAAGGGAAAAAAAGGGAAAAUAGAAACAAAAGGAAGAAGAGAAAAGAGAAACAAGAGGAAGAAGAGAAAAGGGAAGGAAAAGGGGAAGGGAAAAAAAGGGGAAAAGAGAAACAAAAGGAAGAGAAAAGGGAAAGAAAAGGGGAAAAGGGAAAAAGGGAAAAAAGGAACAAAAGGAAGAAAAGAGAAAGAAAAGGGGGAAAGGGAAAAAAGGGAAAAGCGAAACGAGGAAGAAGAGAAAAGGGAAGGAAAAGGGAAGGGAAAAAAGGGGAAAAGAGAAACAAGAGGAAGAAGAGAAAAGGGAAGGAAAAGGGGAAGGGAAAAAAAGGGGAAAAGAGAAACAAGAGGAAGAAGAGAAAAGAGAAAGAAAAUGAGAAAAGGAAAAAAAGGAAAAGCAAAACAAGAGGAAGAAGAGAAAAGGGAAUGAAAAGGGGAGAAGGGAUAAAAGGGAAGAGAGAAACAGGAGAAAGAAGAGAAAAGGGAAGGAAAAGGGGGAGGAAAAAAGGGAAAAGAGAAACGAGGAAGAAAAGGGAAGGAAAAGAAAGGGAAUGGCAUGCUGGCUCUCCCCAGACUCCCCACGGCCUCCCAGCUGCCCAGGCACUGAGGAGCCUCUUUGUGACGGUGCCAGGGCUCACUCACUUCUCCAGGUAGAUGCUGGAGAGGCUGUACACCUGCUCCAUCUUCCGCAGGGUGACCUCCAGCUCGGAGCGCAGCACUGGGGCUGAGCCCGCCUGCUCCGGCUGCGCCAGCACCUGCUCCGUCUUCUCGCUGACUUUGGCCAGGUUCUUCUGGAUGCCCUCCAGCUCCAGGUGUGUUUGCUGCAGGGAAGGAGUCCCUCAGCCCUUGCUGGCUGCAGGUCAGGAACGACCCGCGACCGAAAGCCCAGGAGGAGCGGGGCAGGGGAAGGCUCUGCAGCCCCUCGGUGCAGGUGGACAGGGCAGGUUCAGGAGGGAUCUUGGGAAAGCUCCUCCUGGACAGGGCUGUCCAGCCCUGCUGCAGCUGCCCAGGCCAGGGCUGGAGUGCCACCCCUGCGGAGGUUCUGCAGCCGUGUGGAUGCGGCACUUGGGGACAGGGUCAGGGGUGGCCCUGGCAGUGCUGGGGGGCAGGGGGGACUCCAUGGGCUCUGAGGGCUUUUCCAACCCAAACCACUGCCCCAGGCCCGUGCUGGCCCUGUGACGGGCAUGCCGCACAGGUGUCACGCACCUGCUGCUCAGCCUGGCGCUGGGCGCACUCGCGCAGGGCGUCGGCCUCCAGGGGCAGGCGCAGGCGAUGCACGGUGCG
rnacentral:lncRNA from 1 species